AUCCAACAACAAAGCAAUGUGUUCUAAUGAGUGCAAUGGCAUUCUAAGCAACUUUCCAAUAUUCAUCAUUUACACAUGUUCAGUUGUGUGAAAGUUAUAUAUCAAGGUAACUGCAGCAGAUCAGAAGUCUGUAGUGGCAGUGUAGGGUUUAAUAGCAGCCACCAAGAUAACCACCAACAGAGUGAUGGAUGGCUGAUAAUCCAGCACUGAUUUGGGAUUACAGAAAUUAAAGGACAUGUCAACCCCCCAACCAAAAUUUUUAGCAGAGACAAGCCUCACAGCACUGUUUAAAUACCUGCCACUCCUGAUGUAGCGAUUUAGGAGGCAGGAGGGGGCUUUAUCUAACCUAACGGUGAGAACAUCUUCAAAAGCCUUUCCUUCUCCUUUAAGGUAAAGUUAACAGCCCCACUGGUGUGUUAUGGAAUAGUAUUAGAAUAACACAGUGAUCUUUCUCUUGGAAUGUUACAUAUAUUGCUUGCACUACUAUAUGUUAUAACUAACAUGGUGUUUAUGAUCUGGAUGUUGUAAUAAUGCACUUCUGUGGAUCCUUAUACUGGGUUUACUUUAUGGACAUACAAGCUUUUUUCCUGUACAAUGGACUUUUUUCACAGACAUUCAAGUUUUUUCUGAAAGGAUUGUUGGUGCUUAAUUAUAUUGUCAAUUACUCCCCUCUUGAUUGGAUUGAGAGUAAGCAUUGUUACUUUACUGUUUUGUUAUACUGACGAAAGGAGGGAGUGCCCCCCCAAAACAUUGAUUUUGUGUGGUACACUGGUAGAAUAAUUGGGGUAAGUGCCCCAGCAAAAACUUGUUUGAGUGCAGUCUCUGAUUCCUUUUUUUCUAUGCACUGCUGUGACGUCGCCAUAUGGCUAAGAAGGAGAUGCCAGAUAACAUGCAGAACAUGCAGAGCUAGUUAGACAAGAAGUAACCAAUUAGGAAUGCAAGUAUUUGCAGAAAGGCCUACAGCUGGCUUUAGCAAACUGGAAAGUUUAUGAACUCCCUUGAAUAUUUCUGCAUAAAUCAUAAAGUCUUCAAUCACAAAAAUAAGAAACCCAAUUAAACAAAAGAAUCAUAAA